rnacentral:rRNA from 1 species
CCUACGGGUGGCAGCAGUGAGGAAUAUUGGUCAAUGGGCGGAAGCCUGAACCAGCCAAGUCGCGUGAGGGAAUAAGGCCCUACGGGUCGUAAACCUCUUUUGCCGGGGAGCAAGGGCGGGGACGUGUCCCCGCACGGAGAGUACCCGGAGAAAAAGCAUCGGCUAACACCGUGCCAGCAGCCGCGGUAAUACGGGGGAUGCGAGCGUUAUCCGGAUUUGUUGGGUUUAAAGGGUGCGUAGGGGGGCUGUUAAGUCAGCGGUAAAAAUUCGGGGCUCAACCCCGUCCGGCCGUUGAAACGGGUGGCCUUGAGUGGGCGAGAAGAAAGCGGAAUGCGUGGUGUAGCGGUGAAAUGCAUAGAUAUCACGCAGAACCCCGAUUGCGAAGGCAGCCUUCCGGCGCCCUACUGACGCUGAGGCACGAAAGUGUGGGGAGCGAACAGGAUUAGAUACCCCAGUAGUC